rnacentral:rRNA from 1 species
UACGGGGGAGCAAGCGUUGUUCGGAUUUACUGGGCGUAAAGGCGCGUAGGCGGCCUGUGCAAGUCAGUUGUGAAAUCUCCGGGCUUAACUCGGAACGGUCAACUGAUACUGCUCGGCUAGAGUGCGGAAGGGGCAACUGGAAUUCUUGGUGUAGCGGUGAAAUGCGUAGAUAUCAAGAGGAACACCUGCGGCGAAGGCGGGUUGCUGGGCCGACACUGACGCUGAUGCGCGAAAGCUAGGGGAGCGAACGGG